UGGCCCAAAGGUUUGAAUAAUUAAAUUCAAACCUAUAGUUUUUUUUAAUAUAAUUUUGGGACCACAAUCCCAUUUUUAUAUUAUUUUUCUCUCUUUCUCUCACGUUGCUCAGCGUUUUCUCGCAAGGGGGGAUUAUUUUUUUUUUCUUCAGAUUGUGUUGACAAAGAUAGUGGUGAAAGAGGAGUUGUGAAGGGGAACUUGUUAUUCAAGACACAAGGAGCGAGUCCGGCCGAGAAAGCACCAGAGGUGUAACUAUGGUGUAUGAGACACCAUCUUUUACGUUGCCUCUUAUUUUGGAUUAUACAAUGUAUCUUGUGCCAACUUAGGACAUAUCUUGUUUGUGGAGCAUGUAAACUCUAAUCCUGUUUAUUAAAUGCAUUUAUAUGUCCAAGAGGAUUAUGUCUGUCCCUUUUGAUUCAUGAUCUGAUUUGAAUAACAUGCUAUGAGGAUCCUGACUGUCCCUCAUGGUUCUAAUUUCUUUUUGAGAUAUUUUAAGACCUGUGGUAUAUUGUCUUGGAUGUAUCAUGGUAAGAAAAUUUUCUACCAUGAUAAUGGUUUUAAUAAUUUGCGAAAAAUCGGUCUGU